rnacentral:misc_RNA from 1 species
GCUUCUGAUGCAUUUAUUUUUAGAAUUUCACGAGAAUAAAGAGUCAUGAAAUCAUUAGAUUUACAAGAUAGUGAUCCGGAAAAUAAAACUACACUCAAGUCACAGGGAUCUCCUCACAGAUUCCAAUAGUGACGAUGUAACUACAGCAUCAGUUAGACCACCAAUACUCAUGUUCGUUAGAACAGGUACUCCGAAUCCAGUUGAAGAAUGUUGUCAUCUUUCUGAAAUUGUUGUCUCUACCAACAAAAGCUACACCACUAAUAAAGAUUAUAGCUUUAGCUAUCUCCUAACAGAUUCCAAUAGUGAUGAUGUAACUACAGCAUCAGUUAGACCACCAAUACUCAUGUUCGUUAGAACAGGUACUCCGAAUCCAGUUGAAGAAUGUUGUCAUCUUUCUGAAAUUGUUGUCUCUACCAACAAAAGCUACACCACUAAUAAAGAUUAUAGCUUUAGCUAUCUCCUAACAGAUUCCAAUAGUGAU